UCGAACGAAGUAGCAAUACUUAGUGGCAGACGGGUGAGUAACAUGUGGGUAUCUACCCUUUGGCCUGGAAUAACACGAGGAAACUUGUGCUAAUACCGGAUAAGUCUUUACGGAGAAAGCUUUAUGCACCAUUGGAUGAGCCCGCACUUGAUUAGUUUGUUGGUAGGGUAAUGGCCUACCAAGACUAUGAUCAAUAGCUGAUUUGAGAGGACGACCAGCCACACUGGAACUGAGACACGGUCCAGACACC
rnacentral:rRNA from 1 species